GACGAACGCUGGCGGCGUGCUUAACACAUGCAAGUCGAACGGAAAGGCCCUGCUUUUGUGGGGUGCUCGAGUGGCGAACGGGUGAGUAACACGUGAGUAACCUGCCCUUGACUUUGGGAUAACUUCAGGAAACUGGGGCUAAUACCGGAUAGGAGCUCCUGCUGCAUGGUGGGGGUUGGAAAGUUUCGGCGGUUGGGGAUGGACUCGCGGCUUAUCAGCUUGUUAGUGGUGUAGUGGCUUACCAAGGCUUUGACGGGUAGCCGGCCUGAGAGGGUGACCGGCCACAUUGGGACUGAGAUACGGCCCAGACUCCUACGGGAGGCAGCAGUGGGGAAUAUUGCACAAUGGGCGGAAGCCUGAUGCAGCAACGCCGCGUGCGGGAUGACGGCCUUCGGGUUGUAAACCGCUUUCGCCUGUGACGAAGCGUGAGUGACGGUAAUGGGUAAAGAAGCACCGGCUAACUACGUG
rnacentral:rRNA from 1 species